rnacentral:lncRNA from 1 species
CCGCAGUGAAUGGUUUGGGAAAUCAGUUGGCGUCACUGGGGUUUCGGACAUAAUUGUUGCUGGUGAAGUGGGGUACCCCCCCCCCUUUCUUGACCCUCGGAUAAUGCUUCAGUACGUGAUUUGAAAACAGAGUCGUGAAUUGCAACUAGUUUUCAAAUAGAAAUCCUUUUUUCAGAUGAAAAUCAUUCAGUGCCUUGUACCAUGUGGACUGGUGUUGGACUAGUAUCACUAUAAAUACUAGUUCCGAGUCCUUAAUUAACUAGUUUAGCCUAUAGGUUGACGUGUUCAAAGCCAUUUUAUAACGUCUUUUUAUAAAACUGAAUGUUACAUUACAAUAAGU